UGGGAUGUGGCGCAGUGGUAGCGCAACGGUUUUUGGUACCGCAGGUCGUAGGUUCGAAUCCUACCAUCCCAG
rnacentral:tRNA from 1 species